UCCCUACGGGGUGCAGCAGGUAAGAAUCUUUUGCAAUGCGCGCAAGCGUGACAAAGCGAGCCAGAGUGCUUUUCAAUUGAAAAGCUUUUGCUAAAUCUAAAAAUUUUGGCGAAUAAGGACUGGGUAAGACUAGUGCCAGCCGCCGCGGUAAUCCUAGCGGUCCAAGUCGCAGCCAUCAUUAUUGGGUCUAAAACAUCCGUAGCUUGCUUAAUAAGUUCCUUGUGAAAUCUUGUCUCUUAAGGGCAAGGCGUGCAAGGGAUACUGCUAAGCUAGAGACUGGAAGACGUAAGAAGUAUGUUCAAAGUAGCGGUAAAAUGUGUUAAUCUUGAGCAGACUCACAACAGCGAAGGCAUCUUACGAGGACAGUUCUGACAGUAAAGGAUGAAGGCUAGGGGCGCGAAGUGGAUUAGAUACCCAUGUAGCCCUAGCAGUAAACACUGCGCACUAAACAUUAGUACCUCCUCGAGAGGUAUUGGUGCUGAAGAGAAGUCGAAGAGUGCGCUACCUGGGAAGUAUAGCCGCAAGGCCGAAACUUAAAGGAAUUGGCGGGGAGACACUACAACAGGUGACGCGUGCGGUUCAAUUAGAUUCUACACCGUGAACCUCACCAGAGUCGACAGCAGAAUGAAGGUCAGUCUGAAGGGCUUACCUGACACGCUGAGAGGAGGUGCAUGGCCA
rnacentral:rRNA from 1 species